rnacentral:snRNA from 1 species
AUACUUACCUGGCAGGGGAGACACCAUGAUCUCUAAGGUGGUUUUCCCAGGGUGAGGCUGAUUCACUGCCCUGGGUAUUGGCUGAUCCUGUGAUUUGCUGAUGUGACAAAAUUCCACUGAGUGAUUUGUGCUGGAGGUGGGCUUCCCUGAGCUAUUUACUCCAA